GGCGUAAUGAUGGCCAGGCUGUCUCCACCCGAGACUCAGUGAAAUUGAACUCGCUGUGAAGAUGCAGUGUACCCGCGGCAAGACGGAAAGACCCCGUGAACCUUUACUAUAGCUUGACACUGAACAUUGAGCCUUGAUGUGUAGGAUAGGUGGGAGGCUUUGAAGCGUGGACGCCAGUCUGCGUGGAGCCAACCUUGAAAUACCACCCUUUAAUGUUUGAUGUUCUAACGUUGGCCCCUUACCGGGGUUGCGGACAGUGUCUGGUGGGUAGUUUGACUGGGGCGGUCUCCUCCCAAAGCGUAACGGAGGAGCACGAAGGUUAGCUAAUCCUGGUCGGACAUCAGGAGGUUAGUGCAAUGGCAUAAGCUAGCUUGACUGCGAGCGUGACGGCGCGAGCAGGUGCGAAAGCAGGUCAUAGUGAUCCGGUGGUUCUGAAUGGAAGGGCCAUCGCUCAACGGAUAA
rnacentral:rRNA from 1 species